GUCCAGUUACUGUUAACUGAAUACAUAGGUUAACAGAGCAAACCGGGGGAACUGAAACAUCUAAGUACCCCGAGGAGAAGAAAUCAACCGAGAUUCCGGUAGUAGCGGCGAGCGAACCUGGAUUAGCCCUUAAGCACUCGGUGAAGUAGGUGAACAAGCUGGAAAGCUUGGCGAUACAGGGUGAUAGCCCCGUAACCGACGCUUCAUCGAGCGUGAAAUCGAGUAGGGCGGGACACGUGAUAUCCUGUCUGAAUAUGGGGGGACCAUCCUCCAAGGCUAAAUACUCCUGACUGACCGAUAGUGAACCAGUACCGUGAGGGAAAGGCGAAAAGAACCCCUGUGAGGGGAGUGAAAUAGAACCUGAAACCGUGUACGUACAAGCAGUAGGAGCACCUUCGUGGUGUGACUGCGUACCUUUUGUAUAAUGGGUCAGCGACUUAUAUUCAGUGGCAAGGUUAACCGUAUAGGGGAGCCGUAGCGAAAGCGAGUCUUAACUGGGCGCUCAGUCUCUGGAUAUAGACCCGAAACCGGGUGAUCUAGCCAUGGGCAGGUUGAAGGUUGAGUAACAUCAACUGGAGGACCGAACCGACUAAUGUUGAAAAAUUAGCGGAUGACUUGUGGCUAGGGGUGAAAGGCCAAUCAAACUCGGAGAUAGCUGGUUCUCCCCGAAAGCUAUUUAGGUAGCGCCUCGGACGAAUACUACUGGGGGUAGAGCACUGUUAAGGCUAGGGGGUCAUCCCGACUUACCAACCCUUUGCAAACUCCGAAUACCAGUAAGUACUAUCCGGGAGACACACGGCGGGUGCUAACGUCCGUCGUGGAGAGGGAAACAACCCAGACCGCCAGCUAAGGUCCCAAAGUAUUGCUAAGUGGGAAACGAUGUGGGAAGGCUCAGACAGCUAGGAUGUUGGCUUAGAAGCAGCCAUCAUUUAAAGAAAGCGUAAUAGCUCACUAGUCGAGUCGGCCUGCGCGGAAGAUGUAACGGGGCUAAGCAAUACACCGAAGCUGCGGCAAUGUCUUUUAGACAUUGGGUAGGGGAGCGUUCUGUAAGCCGUUGAAGGUGAAUCGUAAGGUUUGCUGGAGGUAUCAGAAGUGCGAAUGCUGACAUGAGUAACGACAAAGGGGGUGAAAAACCUCCUCGCCGGAAGACCAAGGGUUCCUGUCCAACGUUAAUCGGGGCAGGGUGAGUCGACCCCUAAGGUGAGGCCGAAAGGCGUAAUCGAUGGGAAACGGGUUAAUAUUCCCGUACUUCUGACUAUUGCGAUGGGGGGACGGAGAAGGCUAGGUGGGCCAGGCGACGGUUGUCCUGGUUCAAGUGCGUAGGCUUGAGAGUUAGGUAAAUCCGGCUCUCUCUAAGGCUGAGACACGACGUCGAGCUACUACGGUAGUGAAGUCAUUGAUGCCAUGCUUCCAGGAAAAGCCUCUAAGCUUCAGAUAGUCAGGAAUCGUACCCCAAACCGACACAGGUGGUCGGGUAGAGAAUACCAAGGCGCUUGAGAGAACUCGGGUGAAGGAACUAGGCAAAAUGGUACCGUAACUUCGGGAGAAGGUACGCUCUUGAUGGUGAAGUCCCUCGCGGAUGGAGCUGACGAGAGUCGCAGAUACCAGGUGGCUGCAACUGUUUAUUAAAAACACAGCACUGUGCAAAAUCGCAAGAUGACGUAUACGGUGUGACGCCUGCCCGGUGCCGGAAGGUUAAUUGAUGGGGUUAGCGCAAGCGAAGCUCUUGAUCGAAGCCCCGGUAAACGGCGGCCGUAACUAUAACGGUCCUAAGGUAGCGAAAUUCCUUGUCGGGUAAGUUCCGACCUGCACGAAUGGCGUAAUGAUGGCCACGCUGUCUCCACCCGAGACUCAGUGAAAUUGAAAUCGCUGUGAAGAUGCAGUGUACCCGCGGCUAGACGGAAAGACCCCGUGAACCUUUACUACAGCUUGGCACUGAACAUUGAACCUACAUGUGUAGGAUAGGUGGGAGGCUAUGAAGACGUGACGCCAGUUGCGUUGGAGCCGUCCUUGAAAUACCACCCUUGUAUGUUUGAUGUUCUAACUUAGACCCGUUAUCCGGGUUGAGGACAGUGCCUGGUGGGUAGUUUGACUGGGGCGGUCUCCUCCCAAAGAGUAACGGAGGAGCACGAAGGUGGGCUAAUCACGGUUGGACAUCGUGAGGUUAGUGCAAUGGCAUAAGCCCGCUUAACUGCGAGAAUGACGGUUCGAGCAGGUGCGAAAGCAGGUCAUAGUGAUCCGGUGGUUCUGUAUGGAAGGGCCAUCGCUCAACGGAUAAAAGGUACUCCGGGGAUAACAGGCUGAUACCGCCCAAGAGUUCAUAUCGACGGCGGUGUUUGGCACCUCGAUGUCGGCUCAUCACAUCCUGGGGCUGAAGUCGGUCCCAAGGGUAUGGCUGUUCGCCAUUUAAAGUGGUACGCGAGCUGGGUUUAGAACGUCGUGAGACAGUUCGGUCCCUAUCUGCCGUGGGCGUUGGAAGAUUGAAGGGGGCUGCUCCUAGUACGAGAGGACCGGAGUGGACGAACCUCUGGUGUUCGGGUUGUGUCGCCAGACGCAUUGCCCGGUAGCUAAGUUCGGAAUUGAUAAGCGCUGAAAGCAUCUAAGCGCGAAGCGAGCCCUGAGAUGAGUCUUCCCUGACAGUUUAACUGUCCUAAAGGGUUGUUCGAGACUAGAACGUUGAUAGGCAGGGUGUGUAAGCGUUGUGAGGCGUUGAGCUAACCUGUACUAAUUGCCCGUGAGGCUUAACCA
rnacentral:rRNA from 1 species